rnacentral:misc_RNA from 1 species
GAUGAAGAACGCAGUGAAAUGCGAUAAGUAAUGUGAAUUGCAGAAUUCAGUGAAUCAUCGAAUCUUUGAACGCACAUUGCGCCCCCUGGUAUUCCGGGGGGCAUGCCUGUCCGAGCGUCAUUGCUGCCCUCAAGCACGGCUUGUGUGUUGGGCCUCCGUCCUCCUCCCGGGGGACGGGCCCGAAAGGCAGCGGCGGCGCCGCGUCCGGUCCUCGAGCGUAUGGGGCUUCGUCACCCGCUCUUGUAGGCCCGGCCGGCGCUUGCCGACACAUCAAUCUUUUUUCCAGGUUGACCUCGGAUCAGGUAGGGAUACCCGCUGAACUUAAGCAUAUCAAUAAGCGGAGGA